AAAAUUUAAAAUUAAAAUACUAAAAUAUUAAGUAAAUAUUUAUUGAAACUUAAAUAAUUUGGCGGUAUUUUAGUUUAUUUAGAGGAAUCUGUUUAAUAAUUGAUAUUCCACGAAUAAAUUUACUUAAUUUGUUUAUUUUGUAUAUCGUUGUUAUAAAAAUAUUUU
rnacentral:rRNA from 1 species